UCUUAUGGAUGAGCAAAGAAAGUGGUUCCCUGAAUGGAAUCUACUCCUGGUGAAGAUUCUGUUAA
rnacentral:pre_miRNA from 1 species